rnacentral:rRNA from 1 species
CCUACAGGAGGCUGCAGUGGGGAAUAUUGGACAAUGGGGGGAACCCUGAUCCAGCCAUGCCGCGUGUGUGAAGAAGGCCCUCGGGUUGUAAAGCACUUUCAGUGAGGAAGAACGCCUGGUGGUUAAUACCCAUCAGGAAAGACAUCACUCACAGAAGAAGCACCGGCUAACUCCGUGCCAGCAGCCGCGGUAAUACGGAGGGUGCGAGCGUUAAUCGGAAUUACUGGGCGUAAAGCGCGCGUAGGUGGCUUGAUAAGCCGGUUGUGAAAGCCCCGGGCUCAACCUGGGAACGGCAUCCGGAACUGUCAAGCUAGAGUGCAGGAGAGGAAGGUAGAAUUCCCGGUGUAGCGGUGAAAUGCGUAGAGAUCGGGAGGAAUACCAGUGGCGAAGGCGGCCUUCUGGACUGACACUGACACUGAGGUGCGAAAGCGUGGGUAGCAAACAGGAUUAGAUACCCCUGUAGUC